rnacentral:rRNA from 1 species
GACGAACGCUGGCGGCGUGCUUAACACAUGCAAGUCGUACGGUAAGGCCCUUUCGGGGGUCCACGAGUGGCGAACGGGUGAGUAACACGUGAGUAACCUGCCCACAACUUUGGGAUAACGCUAGGAAACUGGUGCUAAUACUGGAUAUGUGCUCCUGCUGCAUGGUGGGGGUUGGAAAGCUCCGGCGGUUGUGGAUGGACUCGCGGCCUAUCAGCUUGUUGGUGGGGUAGUGGCCUACCAAGGCGGCGACGGGUAGCCGGCCUGAGAGGGUGACCGGCCACAUUGGGACUGAGAGACGGCACAGACUCCUACGGGAGGCAGCAGUGGGGAAUAUUGCACAAUGGGCGCAAGCCUGAUGCAGCAACGCCGCGUGCGGGAUGACGGCCUUCGGGUUGUAAACCGCUUUCAGCAGGGACGAAGCUUUUUGUGACGGUACCUGCAGAAGAAGCACCGGCUAACUACGUG